rnacentral:misc_RNA from 1 species
GUGAAUCAUCAAAUCUUUGAACGCACAUUGCACUCUCUGGUAUUCCGGGGAGCAUGCCUGUUUGAGGGUUAGUAAGUUUCAAUUGUACUUUGAAAUUUUUACGGAUCUGGCUUUUCCAACUGUUCUAUUUUUAGUACUCUAAAAUUUAUCAUAACAAUAGGUGAUCUUGCAAAUGUUUAUCAUACACUCAUUAACAA